rnacentral:hammerhead_ribozyme from 1 species
AUCCAGCUGACGGCUCUUAAAUACGGCGAAACGCGCGUCCUGGAU